rnacentral:tRNA from 1 species
GCGGAUGUAGCUCAGUUGGUAGAGCGCCAGAUUUCCAAUCUGGAUGUCGCCGGUUCGAACCCGGUCGUCCGCUCCA